UGGGGAAUCUUGCCCAAUGGGCGAAAGCCUGAGGCAGCGACGCCGCGUGAGGGAAGAAGGCCUUCGGGUUGUAAACCUCUUUCAGGAGGGACGAAGCUACUCGGGUGAAUAGCCCAGAGGGUGACGGUACCUCCAGAAGAAGCCCCGGCUAACUACGCGCCAGCAGCCGCGGUAAUACGUAGGGGGCAAGCGUUGUCCGGAUUUACUGGGCGUAAAGAGCGUGUAGGCGGCCAGACAGGUCUGUUGUGAAAACUAGAGGCUUAACCUCUAGACGUCGACAGAAACCGUCUGGCUAGAGUCCGGAAGAGGAGAGUGGAAUUCCUGGUGUAGCGGUGAAAUGCGCAGAUAUCAGGAAGAACACCAAUGGCGAAGGCAGCUCUCUGGGACGGUACUGACGCUGAGACGCGAAAGCGUGGGGAGCGAACAG
rnacentral:rRNA from 1 species